UAUCUACUCCCUCCGUCCCAUAUUAGCUGUCUCAAAUUUGUCAAAAUAUGGAUGUAUCCAUGCCUAAAAAACGUCUAGAUACAUGUAAUAUUUCGACAAUUAAUAUUGGACGGAGGGAGUAGUUU
rfam:Brachypodium distachyon strain Bd21 chromosome 3, whole genome shotgun sequence.